AUUGAACGCUGGCGGCAUGCCUUACACAUGCAAGUCGAACGGUAACAGGUCUUCGGAUGCUGACGAGUGGCGAACGGGUGAGUAAUACAUCGGAACGUGCCCGAUCGUGGGGGAUAACGAGGCGAAAGCUUUGCUAAUACCGCAUACGAUCUACGGAUGAAAGCGGGGGAUCUUCGGACCUCGCGCGGACGGAGCGGCCGAUGGCAGAUUAGGUAGUGGGCGGGAUAAAAGCUUACCAAGCCGACGAUCUGUAGCUGGUCUGAGAGGAUGAUCAGCCACACUGGGACUGAGACACGGCCCAGACUCCUACGGGAGGCAGCAGUGGGGAAUUUUGGACAAUGGGCGAAAGCCUGAUCCAGCCAUGCCGCGUGCAGGAUGAAGGCCUUUGGGUUGUAAACUGCUUUUGUACGGAACGAAAAGCCUCUUUCUAAUAAAGAGGGGUCAUGACGGUACCGUAAGAAUAAGCACCGGCUAACUACGUG
rnacentral:rRNA from 1 species